AGUAUCUCUUAACAGCUUUUUCUUUUCCAGCUAUAGUAGCCAAAAUCUAAUUUGCAUAUAAUCCAUCUCCGAGUAACUAUUUUAGUACUUGAUUAUUCUGACUAUUAAUUGGAUUUGACCACUUGAGCUUGUUAGAAAAAAUAUUGAAAUUCAAGUACAUAAGUAAUUGAAUUUAUUUUUUUUAAAAUUAUUUUUUUAAAUAAGAAAAUAAAAAUGUGAUUCCCUAAAAUGCAACAACACAGCACUCCUUUAGUGAAUUAUUGGUCAUUUUGUAUCAAAGGAUGCACCUGCAAUAAAAAAAAAAACAACUUUUAAAAUCAACAUGUGAGAAGUUCAGCUUUAACAUCAAUACGGUGUAUGGCUAAUCUGCUUUUAUUUUUGUAUUUGUUUUUUUUUUUUUUUUGGAUUAACUAAUAGUUGGAAAGCAAAAGGUGGUUAAUGGGAGAAUUUAACAGAACCAGGUGAAGGUGAAACUGCACCGCCUGAGGAGUUCUGAGAGACGAAGGAAAAUAUUCUCAUUCUGAACGCAAAACGUACAACUUUGUGUUGCUCUUUCUGCAAAUGGCUUUUUAAAAAAAAACAUUUAUCUGCAUAUUCUAGUUAAUAUUGGAGCAGGGGAGCAAAACUCAUUUUUGUUUCAGGCCGCAUCCAGAUCAUGGAUGUCGUCAAAGGGCCGGUGGAGGCAGAAUGAAACCGCUAAACUACUAAAUUAUAAUAGUUUUUUUUUUCUGCGUUUGAUUAGUAUAUCUUGAAAUAAAACAAUUAACUUUUUUCACAGUGAUGUAUUUCGGAUCUAUAUAAAUGAAAACUGAUUUGAUUUAACUGAU